ensembl:lncRNA
UUUUAGAAUAAUGUUAAAAUAAUUCAAUAAGUCGUGGUUAUAAAGACUUACAACCUCCGCUUGAGUUGCAUGACAUUUGCAGUGAAAUAUUAGUCUUGCAUGAAUGAUCGUUUUCAAGUACAUGUUAGUUGUCAACAGCACUUGCGCAGGGGUCUCAUUGUAUUUCUGUCCCCAGGUAUUCCGAGUAAGUCCCUCUCUGGGUUUGAGAAAGGCAUCGGACUUGAGCUGAAUAAAGUCCUCUGGGUUUAAUCCAGUGAAAGGCCUUGAAGACUGCACAGCACUUAUGGAUAAUGGCACAUGGCUGCUUAAUGUCUGCAAGUCUCCAGAGAAAGAACAUGAGGCUUACAGUGCAUUCAACUUGAGAGGAUGAAGUAAAUGCACUGGUUCCUGACAAAGCAGCUUGGAGUAAAAGGAACUGAGUCGUAUUCUGGGAAAUGAUGCAGACAAUUACAUUGAUAGAAGGCACAAUCUGCAAUAUCAAAACUUAUCUUACCCCUAAAAUGAUAAUUGCUACAUUUCCUUGACUUUAUUUUUACCUUGUUUUACUUGUUUUUUUUGUGAUUGUAAAAUUGUAGUUGCCUCAGG